AUUGAACGCUGGCGGCAUGCCUUACACAUGCAAGUCGAACGGUAACGCGGGGCAACCUGGCGACGAGUGGCGAACGGGUGAGUAAUACAUCGGAACGUGCCCAGUAGUGGGGGAUAGCCCGGCGAAAGCCGGAUUAAUACCGCAUACGACCUACGGGUGAAAGCGGGGGAUCGCAAGACCUCGCGCUAUUGGAGCGGCCGAUGUCAGAUUAGCUAGUUGGUGGGGUAAAAGCCUACCAAGGCGACGAUCUGUAGCUGGUCUGAGAGGACGACCAGCCACACUGGGACUGAGACACGGCCCAGACUCCUACGGGAGGCAGCAGUGGGGAAUUUUGGACAAUGGGGGCAACCCUGAUCCAGCCAUGCCGCGUGCGGGAAGAAGGCC
rnacentral:rRNA from 1 species